UUUGGAGUGCCGAAGGUUGCCCACCCUUGACUUAGGGUGUCAUGGAGUGGGAAGGGCGGGGCAGACUCCAAGCACAAUGACCACUUCAAAUUGCUGAAGCGAUCAUGUCGCUUGGAGUAAUUUUUUAAAUAAAGAAAGACUAGAGUCACUGACUCAUUAAUUUGUGAUAAAGUAGUGAGUAUUAGUUUCAACAUUUAGUUCUCAACCAACAACAAAAAGUGGUACGAUCAUUAAAAUGUAUUUCUAUAAAUCAUUUAAAAAGAUAUUCUUUAUAAAGUGAUAUUAUUUCUAUCUAGCUGCUGCUGUAGUUACCACUUGAGUACAUGGCUGGAUUAAGAGCCCAUUGGGCCUGGUGAUGACAAUAUGAUGGGCCUAAUUACAGAAUCUUAUCAACAGAAAACACUAAAACCCUUAUAUCUCCCAAGCGUCAUGUAUCUGGUGGAGGUGGUGCUGAAAAAUUUUCUCCUCGAAAAAUUAGAUGGUCAGCCUGGCGUGAAUGCACAAACAUGCAGGAGGACCAACCAAGGUCAUACUGUGCAGACAGCACCCUGAGCUUGGCAUAAAUGCGCCUAAUGAUGUGCUAUCUCAAUGCUUUCUAAGGACUGUCCCCUAGCACUUGCUGGUCCACUCCUCUCCUUACCUUCUUACUAGCAGGCAGAAGCUCCUUUUAUACAGUCUGGGACAGAGAAAGUGUAUGUAGUGAGUGUGACGGUAGUCACCAUCACUGGGGAUGGAAGACAGAAACUAUGGGUGGGCUCCCAAAUUCUUUUUGUGUUUUGUCACAUUGUGCCUAUUACUUGUGCGGGGUAUGUUGAAUGUAUUGCUGGUCUGUGCUUCUCCCCCUCCCCAUUUUUUCCUGUCCUAUUGUUUCCCCAGCAGGGUGUUGUCCCAGGGACACUGCCAGACCAGUUUAAACUAGCUGCUUUGUCCCUCCUCAAUCUCCCAUCAGCCCUUGCUAUUGUCUGACCCCACCCUUCCUUGUACUAUAGUAAUCUAUGUAACCUAUUGUAUGUAAAUUAGGCUCUUGGGGGCUUAAACUAUGUGUGCUGUAUUCAUUAAAGAGUUGCUGUUUAACCUUCACCAUGUGUCGUCUGGUGUUUGGUCCAGGGUGGAAAAGGCCCUUAGUGAUCCCAGUCAUGCCUCGGCCUCUGGGUCUGAAGUGUUUCAGGGUCCCUGAUAGCCACAAGGAAGCAGACUUGGCGGAGGUACUCGGUCGGAGUACUGGAGCUCCGUUACAGUGAGUGUAGAAGAAAAGGAACAUGUCACAGUGUUAGAGAGACUGAAGCAGCAAGAGUAUUUGCAUAGUGCACAAAGUCAGCUUUACCUUAACUAAUUUCAUUGUCAGCCCGUCCACACAGUUUUAAUCCCCUACAUCCCUCUUAAAUUUCCAUAUUUAAGCAAGAGCAUGUGAAGAGAAGUUAAAAAAAAAAAAAGGAGCAACUCCAUUGGCCUCUAUGUUAAUCAGGCCCUGCUUGCAUUGUGUAUUUCUGAAUGUGUCUGGCAUUGUAUACCUGGCUAUAUGCCUGAGAGUGUGUGUCUGACAGAGUGUUAGGUGGGAAUGUAUGUCUCUUUGAGCAUGUGUGUGUUUUUGUCUGGGACCCUAUAUGUGUGGGGUAGCUGCUUGCAGUGUGUUGUGUGGGAGCAGCCUGUGGCCAUUGUGUAUUGUUUUAUGGCAAAGUUAUGUUUCAUGGAAGGAUUAGAGGGGCUAAUGUGACAGGGUGAGUGUGGCAUGGUUGGGGGAUGAGUGUGACAGGAUCGAAGCAUUUAAUGUCGUAUGACAGGGUUGGGGUGACUGUGGCAUGGUUGGAGGAGGUAGUGUGACAGUGUGUCGGAGGAGGUGACUGAGUGUUAAGGGGUGAUGGUGUAUGUAUGGGGGGUGACUGUGUGUGGGGGUAACAGUGUGUGGGUGGAAGGAUAACUGUGUGUAUAUGUGGGGUUGACAGUGUGUGUGUGUGUGUGGUCAGUGUCUGGAAGGGGGUGACAGUGUGUAUGUGUUUGUGUGUGUGUGUAUGGGGAAGGUGACAGUGUGUGUGAGUGUGUGGAAGAGAGUGACAGUACAGUGUGGGGGGUUACAGUGUGUGUGUGUGGGUGACAGUGUGUCUGAGAGGGUGAGUGUGUGGAAGAGUGUGAUACUACAGUGUGGGGGAGACAGUGCGUGGGUGUGGGGUUGGUGAGUGUGUGGAAGCGAGUGAAAGUACAGUGUGGUGGGUGACAGUGUGUAGGUGAGUGAGUGUGUGUGUGGUGUGGAAGGGAGAGACAGUACAAUUUGGGGGGUGACAUUGUGUGCAUGUGUGUUGGAGUUAGUGUGUGGAACUGUGACAGUACAGUAUGGGAGGUGACAGUGUGUGUGGAGGGGUGACAGUGUGUGUGUAAUGGGGUGACAGUGUGUGUGUAAUGGGGUGACAGCAUGUGUGUUGGUGGCAGUGUGUAUGGGGGGGAUGACUGUGUUUUAGGGGGUGACAGUGUGAGGGAUAACAGUGUGUGUGGGUGAUAGCAGUGUGUUUGUGGGGGGAUAAGGUUGUGGAAGGGUGACAGUGUGUUUGUGAGGGUUGACAGUGUGGAAGGGGGGGGAGGCUGUGUGUCAGUAACCAGCCUCCCAACAUUUACAUAGCUCUCUUUUUUUUUUUAGCAAAUGGGUGCAGAGCUGCAGACCACGUGAUCAGAGUCUCGCAAUCUCCAGAAGCAUCAGAACGUUGCCAUGGUAAACCUGCAGCAAAGCUCGAAUUCACUGACAUCAAGUGACAGUAAUUUCCCAUUCUGCAGCUCUGCACCCGUGGGAGCUGCAGACCAGAGGCGCUGGCUCUCUUUCAGGGCAGACUGUGUGGAAGGGCCUCGCACCGAGCGGUAUAAAGGGCAAGCCACCCUCCCGAUAGGUCACCCUGCCCAAUGGUGAUUUAGAAGGCCGCGAGGCUCCAGUCAGCACAAAGCCUUAGGCAGCCGUCUGAAUCACCUAAUUAGAGAGCUGCUUCUGCCACUGUGCAAAUUAUCAGCAGUUAUGUUGCUUAGAAGACCCCUUUAUUGGAGAACUCUCAUUCCCCAGGAUUUUCAACAUCAUGUUUACUUAUCCCUAUAUUGAAUAUAUAUGCAUCUCAAACAUGUGAAAAAGAAAAUUAAAUGUAGACAUCUAGACUUUCUAUCCUGCAAUUGUGCGCCUCCAUCUUCGCUCCCUGUCCAUCAUUGUUAUAAACUCUAUACUGGCACCUAGCAGUCAGCACAGAGUCAGGAGAAAUGAGACAAUGUUUCUAUUUAUAUUCCACAUUCGUGCCCUGAGUUUGCUUUCUGAUGUUAUUUGCCAAGUAUUUAAUAUAGUUUUAAAAGAAAACAGGGCAUUACAUGGGGAGGAAAUGACAGACGGUAUAGGUGAUCUCUAAUGUAUGAUUAAAUUUUGUAAAUUCCCAAACAGUAACAGUUCUCCAUUAAAUGUUGCACACACAGAAGAAUAUGGGGCUUGACCAAGUCUGGGUACUAAAUAAAAUAUUGGGGAGGAAGGGCAGAUGGUUUUAGAUGUGAAUUGCUUGUGUUUCUAUGUUCUACAGAAAAUCCCUGCUGAGAGAAAUAUGUAAUAAUGAAAAGAGAAUAUUUUGAUAAUUAUAAUUAACGAAGAACACACACCUACAUGCAUCUCACAAACAUAUCUCUUGGUUUCCAAGUGCUACAUGGUCCAUUCAAGUUUUAUGGUCUUCUUAGAUGGAAAUACUGCCAUUAGCUCAUUGAAUAUAUUGAAGAUGUUAAUUUGCGUAAUGUUAUUCCUGAAGUAAUGGUGCAAAGGUCCACAAUAAAAAACGGCAACAGCUUAUCACAUGAAUCAACGUUUGGUUUACAACUAUCCCUUAUCUCAGCUGACAGCUGUGUACAUUUUAAAAAACUGUUUAAAUACUUACAAUAGUGGGGACGUUAGGGCAUUCCUGCCACCAUAACCACUACAUCUUGUUGUAGAGGUUAUGAUGAUUGGAGUAUUCCUUUAAUAGACACCCAGACUACAGCCAGAAUACUGUAUCUUAGAGACAUUUGGAUGAUGAUGCUUACAUCAGUUCCACAGUUUGGAGGUUCAUUUUUUCCAGUUGACAAGAAGAUACUAUAUGGUUAACUACAGCCACAUGGGUUGAAACAUCAAUGUGUUUCUAUAUAUUCAAUAUGGAAUUAAUAAAAAUAGACUCAUUUACAUUGAAAUCUAUUGGAUUUUAAACACAUAGUAUAGAACCUGGGCUUUUACACUUUAUGAUCUUUUUCUUUUUUUUACUGUAAAUUUUUGGUCUUUCUCAAUUAAAU